rnacentral:rRNA from 1 species
CGUGUAGGCGGAGAUGCAAGUUGGGAGUGAAAUCCCGGGGGCUCAACCCCCGGAACUGCUUUCAAAAACUGCAUCCCUUGAGUAUCGGAGAGGCAAGCGGAAUUCCUAGUGUAGCGGUGAAAUGCGUAGAUAUUAGGAGGAACACCAGUGGCGAAGGCGGCUUGCUGGACGACAACUGACGCUGAGGCGCGAAAGCGUGGGGAGCAAACA